AUUGAACGCUGGCGGCAGGCUUAACACAUGCAAGUCGAGCGGAGCGAGGGUGCUUGCACCUUAGCUUAGCGGCGGACGGGUGAGUAAUGCUUAGGAAUCUGCCUAUUAGUGGGGGACAACAUUCCGAAAGGAAUGCUAAUACCGCAUACGCCCUACGGGGGAAAGCAGGGGAUCUUCGGACCUUGCGCUAAUAGAUGAGCCUAAGUCGGAUUAGCUAGUUGGUGGGGUAAAGGCCUACCAAGGCGACGAUCUGUAGCGGGUCUGAGAGGAUGAGCCGCCACACUGGGACUGAGACACGGCCCAGACUCCUACGGGAGGCAGCAGUGGGGAAUAUUGGACAAUGGGCGGAAGCCUGAUCCAGCCAUGCCGCGUGUGUGAAGAAGGCCUUUUGGUUGUAAAGCACUUUAAGCGAGGAGGAGGCUACUUAGAUUAAUACUCUGGGAUAGUGGACGUUACUCGCAGAAUAAGCACCGGCUAACUCUGUGCCAGCAGCCGCGGUAA
rnacentral:rRNA from 1 species